rnacentral:lncRNA from 1 species
ACAAAAUCUUGUCAGGCUCUUGUUUUGAGUUUCUGGGUUACCUAGAAACUCUUUGGUCAAGCUCGGUCAACAGAUUUUGACCAUGAAUAUCUUACAUUCUAUACAUGAUCUGGUCCUUCUAUAAGUUCUAGAACAGAGAUCUCAUAGCAUACUACAAGAUCAAACCUUUUAAACAACAAAAACACAUAACAGACAAAGAGUUAUGAGGUCUGACAUUCAUUGUCAGACCACUUUUUCAACUUUUUCCAGAUUUGCAAAAUCAUCAAAUCUGAGCCUAUAGAUGUUAUGGACCUAACAUCUAUCAACCCAGAUCAUCAUUAUACACUAUAAACAACAUGAUUAAACAUUAAAACACAAGAUCUAACAUGGAAUCAAAUUUCAGAUUUAGUUUAGGGUUUAUACCUUUACUAUGAACAAAAAUUAAUUUUAUGCUUAUGAUAUGAUAUGGUUGAUAGUGGGGCUUAAUUUUGGGACUGAAAUGCCUUAUGAUUUCGUAGGUUUUGAAAGAGAGAGGAUUGGUGGAGAGCAAGUUGAACAAAUGGUGGAUUGGUGGAUUGGUGGAGAGAAUUCUGCACUUCUGUUGAUGAUUGAUCAGCUCCAACUUCAGUGUCCAAAUCACUCUCUGUUGGCUCCACUUUUUCUGGAUCUGGUACUACGUUUUCCACAAUAACCAC